ensembl:processed_transcript
GGGGAUUUUACAAUCCUAAUAUGCAGAAAGAGUAUAUACACUACAUAUACCAACACAGUCGACCUUCAAAUAUGAGAAGUGAGAAUGUCCAAUUUUAUUAAAAUUAUAAUUAGUAUUCAUAGUAGAACUGUAGCCAUGACAACAUAUUUUAUUUUAAAAAAAUGUACAGUAGUGUAAUACAUUUAAAUCACAAACCACUCACCUUCGAUUUUUUACAUUUUUGACCUUGGAUCCUUUCUUUUUAAAAUUCCAGUUUUUUUCACACAGUGUAGCCUUAUCACUGUUUCUUCUCCUUCAUCUUCCCCCAAAUCCUCCUUCCCACUCAUCUAGUAUUUCCCCUUCUUUCUCUUUGUCUCUUUAGAAAACAGAGACACAAAAAACAGCGAAACAGACAAACCAGAACAGAACCAAAUGAACCAACAGAAAAUGAACGGAAGGUUAAGCCCCUGAAGCACAUCCGUGCCCAGACACAAAUGCAGCCCUAGACAACUCAUAAAACACAAUGUUAGAAUAUUAAAAUUAUAUAUAAAAUUAGAUAAUACAAAAUUAAAAUUAUAAGUAUUAUAUAUCUUUCUAUGUAUGCAAUACCUGAAGAAGAUUAAAGAAAAUGUCCAGACUUAGCAUGAUACUAAAUCUUAUAAAUCUACCACUAAGUUCUUAGUGAGUUGUCCUUUGUUGAACAAUGAAAUGAAAGAUUGUAUGUCUAUUAGUGCGUCUUCACACCCUGUUUUUUUUUUGUCCUCUCAGACCAGAUGCCUUCCUCACUGGUCACCAGGUUCAUGGUCCCUCAUGUGUCAGGAGCACAGUCACCAAUGUGAGUCAAGGUUGUUGUCGAAGUUGUUGUCAAAGCUGUUAAAAUCAUUUCCUAGCAUUCUAAAGAUCCAUGGUCUAGUCAGAAGUAUGCUGUGACUAUGAAAUGCUUGGUUGAGUAAUAAAUAUUAUUGAAAUUAAGUUUACUUUAAGCAGAUAUAGUAACCUUAGGCCAAGGAGCUAAAAUAUUUAUGUAAAUUAUAAUUAAUGAUGUUUUUCAUGAUUAAUAAUAAUCAGCUAAUAAACAAUACCAAUGAAAGUCUAUUAGAGAAACUCGAGGCCAGGUUGGCUCUGUGGUGGCCUCUUGUUGGAGGUGAGCAGUGGAGCAUGAGAACAGGUCCGGGGGUCUGAGUCCCAGACCUUGUGCUGUCCUGAGGUGUGCCCAAGCAUGUUCCCUUUCCCAUUGUGAAAGUUUAUGCAAAUAUGUACAUUAAGACAAAGCAGGUCAGCAGUGUUGAGCAUAAGAAUUGUGCCUAUUGAGAAAUAGUAAUACGCCAGGAAACCAUGUGUGUUUAGAAAUAAAUAAGUACAAAUUACAAUAAAAUUAAACAAACAAUAACAAGGAAAUGAAUGUCUUAAUGAUACUACUAGCUAAGGACAAUUAAAAAUAAUGGCACGUCCUUGUCAGGGCUUGAGUAUUUAUUAUUGCGUUGUCAAGUAAACCAAACUAGGAGAGUUUUAUUCUUGCCUAAGUGACUAAUAAAAUAGAAGGGGGAAUGAGAGAAUAAUAUCAUUCUUCUUCUUUGUACUGUCAUCAUAGAUGCUUUCGUCAUGAUAUUCACAUUCUGAUUCCCCAGAUCACUCAUGUUAGUAUGGUCAAAUCCCCUGACUUAAUUUGGGAGGUUUUAAAUGCUUAAGAUAUCACGCAGAAUCUAUUAAAAUCAACUACACUGGCCUUCCACCACUAAGCUCAUUAACACUUGCACAAUUGAGAACC